AUGACUGAGUGUAGCGCAGAGAGAUUGUCGCUUCUGCGUGUCGCUCAGUCAUUUU
rnacentral:pre_miRNA from 1 species